rnacentral:rRNA from 1 species
UACGUAGGGUGCGAGCGUUAAUCGGAAUUACUGGGCGUAAAGCGUGCGCAGGCGGUUUUGUAAGUCAGAUGUGAAAUCCCCGGGCUUAACCUGGGAACUGCGUUUGAAACUACAAGGCUAGAGUGUAGCAGAGGGGGGUGGAAUUCCACGUGUAGCAGUGAAAUGCGUAGAUAUGUGGAGGAACACCGAUGGCGAAGGCAGCCCCCUGGGCCGAUACUGACGCUCAGGCACGAAAGCGUGGGGAGCAAACAGG